rnacentral:tRNA from 1 species
GCAGACAUCAUCUAGUUGGCAGGAUACCAGCUUGUGGCGCUGAUCACCUGAGUUCGACUCUCAGUGUCUGCA